ensembl:lncRNA
UCAGGUUGGUCUGUUUUAUUUCUGAAUUAUUCUUUACAUUGUACAAUAUAUAAAAAUACAGAGUACCCCAAAAAAAUUCACAGUGUCUAAAGGCAGUGAUUACAGUCUAGGUCACCUUUAUACUAAAGUACCAUCAAGUUCAAUUGCAUAGGAAGGGUGAUGUGCCUUCACAACAGAGUCCAAUAAUACUCUCCAGGUUUUGCUGUUUUAGGGCAAGCAUUCUGUGUUUGCAUCAUAAUUUCCCAUGAUCCAGUAUUGCAUCUGUCACUCUCCCACCUCAACUACAAGCUAAAUCCUAUCAUAUCCAUUGCACAUACCAUUCAACCUCCCUAAAGCUUUCUCUGUGGGAAUGAUCCUAAUUAACCGCAUCGCUUUUAGGUAUGCGCAGGUUUGGAUGUCGGCUAGGGAGGGGUGUGUGGAUAGAAACCACACUGGCAUGCAGCUGGCUGGCUUUUAUGUUGUUUGACAUUUUGUUACUAAAAAACAUUUUUGCUUCAGUUAUUAAUGGCCCAUCCACGCCGACCUCUGCUUGACUCCGUGGCAUGCGAAUUAACAGCAUCCCGCUGACGGAGGUUUCAGAACUAGAGUGCAGUGUUAAUACUUUUCAUGAUCAGAUUUGUUUAAAACCAAAUCGGGGCUGGGACUUGCAGAAAGCCAAAUGCUGCUUUUACAGCACUGAACCUUCUCAAAUAGAAAUUUACAGCUGAGGCUGGAGGCAGAAAAGGGAAAAAAUCAAGUUUAAGACCCAAAUUUGAGUUGAAUGCUAUUGAGCGUUUAAUUUUGUGGCUCUCUAAAUAAAGGGAUGCUGGUUUUGCUCCUCCAGCCAGGACUAAUGCAGAUGCUAACAUCUCACAAAGGGCCCAAAGGAGGAAUUUCCACACAGAACAGCUGAGACAGGGUAAGUCCCACAAGGACCCAGCUCCAGGGGGGCUUCUGUCCAGUUUUGAAGGUUCUGGCAAUCAAAAUUUGUGGAUUUUCUCACCUACCCCAAAUGUAUUCUUGAAGCUGCUUGAAGUUUCCUCCUAACAAGCUUAAGGGGAAGAUUUACCUGUUCGAGUCUGGGCCUUGGACAUGAAGGCAUUAAAGUGAUCUGUGGGAAAAAAAAGAAAUCCUUCAAACCCAAUUUACUGGGUAUUUCUCUGUUACGCCAGGCAGCUCCAAGGGGUGCUGAGCCCCGCCAUGUGUGCAGGCUGGCUCACGGGAGGCGUCAGGGCAAGGAAUAGAUGCAGAGCCUUGCCCAUGAAUGCUGGAAGCUCCAGAGACACCCACGGCACCAGGUAACUGACUGCCAUGGCCUGGUGUCUUUUUUGGGCCUCUGUGAAAACAAAAAGCCAUGGGUUUACAGGGUUCCUUUUCCCUAAAUUUUGUACUAAAACCUCCUAAUGCGAUUAUAAAGCAAGGCUUAUUAUGCCGAUCAAUAACUCAGAAGGCAAUUGCUAUCUUCUUUAACAUGGAAGUUGACAUUUUCUCUGUUCUAAUAGAUGAUGUCUUUUGCUCUAAUGGUACAAUAUUUGUUACUCCUACUUACUAUUUUGAUUUUCUUUGCACAAUUAGUCCCUACUUAUAAUUACAAAAACAAUAGAGUGAUACAUGAGAGAUAUGGGAAGCUUAUUCAGAAAAUAUAAGCAGUAACAGGAAUCUUUUUCUUAAUCAUUCUUAACCAGAAUGAUUUAGCGGAGAAUCAGCAUAUCUAACUAGAAAAAUCAAUUUUCCUUUCAAUUAAAAAAUUAUAUUUCAUUUACCUCAAAAGUGUUGGGUUUUUUGAAAACCUAAUGGAAAGGAUGCUAUGUUUUUACAGGUUUUUUCUUCAUUUUGUCCCUGUGAAUUUGAACACCAGCACUGCCUUUCUUAUUCUAAGUUUCCUCUGCAGGCAUUUUGUUAAAUAUAUAUAUCGUGUGUGUAUAUAUUAUAAAUAUAUACUGUAUCUAUCCACUGAUAGAUGUAUACACUAUUACAAAAGAGUAAGCUGUUACACAAACUUUACAUUUACAUUUUAUAUAUAUAUAUAUUUUUAUAUAUAUAUAACUUUCCCCCACUGUAUUUGGUACAAAGUAUAAAUCAAUCUCAGUGGACAGCAAUUUUCUCUCCAGGUGGGCUUAACAUCAGAUUAACACUGGAGGCGUCAAUUGUCUGCAUCAGACAUGAACUCCAUUCCUACUGUCUGUUGAUUUCAAACCAACCAUCUCAUUUUCCAAAUGUAAGGCAUUAGGAACAGUGGUGGUAAGACAAUGCAAUUUCUUCUAUAGUAUCUGUACAGUUCAUAUAUUUAAGAGCAGCCUGGCUCAUAUGCCGAAUUCAAGUAAGCCUUUAGAGCAACAGUGCCUCUUAUAGUGUGGUAUCAUCAUCAAGUGGUUUGGCACAAGUUAUUUCUGGUGGGUGACAGCUGAUCAAGUAAAGCCCAACAGCAAUGGCACAACACAGCCUGGAUAAGGCCAUAACGCACACCCCAUCUGGAGGGAGAAAGGCAGCCACUUCCAUGGAAAAGGAAGAAUGGCCUAAUUAAAGAUGUUUCCGCUACAUACUUGGCUGUAAGAUUUCCAUCAUAUUUUACAUAAUACAUAUCUGAAUCCUAGCCAAAGGUUUGCAGAGAACCAGUGUCUCUAGACCAGCACAGGAACUGCCCGGGUUCCCCUUCUCUGUCUUAGAAGUGAAAGAAAAAGUAUAGAGAGAGCAAGAUGAGUCUUUUGGAAAGCAAUGCUCCUGAACUACAUGCAUUUCCAGCGUACUUUCACAUGGCCUUACAAAUAGGGAAUUUUAGCAACUUUAACAUCCAGCUGCAGGAGCAAUUCAAGCUGCUACAGAUAUUACAGACCUGACGAUCAAGGUGCUGAAUUACCUCAGCCAGAAUAUCACUGUACAUGGUGUCAUUAACCUGCCAUGCAUUAGAGGGCUCAUAAAAAAUGCAACCCUCACACCGCAUUAACAUUGUCCUUAAAGAACCGCACGCUCUGGCAAAUAUUGAGUAAUACGUGUUCUGAUUAAUUUUUUUUUCUGUGCUCUCUCUCCUCUCUCCUGGAUUCUACUUUCUGCUCAAAUGGAGUCUAUAGACCCUUGCUGUGAUUGCCAAUUAUAUCAGAAAGGGCUGAAUCCAUUUGGAUGGCUGGUAAGAAGAAAUGGCUUGAUGAAACUAUAACCACAGGCACCACUCUCAAAGCAUCUGCCCUCCAAUAGCCUACAAAAUAUCCACCUCCUGAGUACAAUGGAAGUAAUGACCUAUCUUGGUGAGCUGAACAUUUAAAGAAAUUCAGCUGCUAUGUGGCAUGUUGGGGGGGAAAAAAAAAAUCAGUUUACAUCAUGUUAUUCUGUGAAGCUGAAAAUGGAAAAAUGUUUUAAGGAGGAGGGGGGAGAAAAAGAAGGGAAAAUAGAAAAUUAUAAUGAUUGCAAAGUUUGACUUGCUCACAUCCCCCCAAACUCCAUCUGCAAUACUGCCAUGUACAUAGUAAUUGCAGCAUGUAUCAAUACAAGGAAUCUUCUGAGGGGGAAGCUUGGAGAUGGCUCUGCUUUUACAAUGGCUAGAGUGAUCUUGGGAGCCAAUGUUUUCUUCUGAAUCACAUAAAUAAAAGCUCAGAAAAUCCCAUCCUGAUAGUCUAAUGUAAUAAUUUUCAACCCCUGGGCUUGUUAGAACUACUUUAAGUCAGGAUUUUUUGAGUUGCUGAGGGGCCACGGAAACCAGUGAGGCAGGUGAUUACGGCACGAGGCACAAAGGCAGCACUCCUCAAAUGGGAUUUAGAAGCCUAGGAAGAGCCUCCCUCCAGGCGCUGGCAUUUGUUACCAGUGCUCUCCUUCUACCCUGGUGAUCCACUCCCACCGCUCCCAUCGCAGCCAUGCUGCCAGGGGAGUUAGGGCCACUGUGCCUAUGUGGAGGGUUGCAGCAGGCUGCUUCAGACAGAGCUUCAAGGUCUGCAUAAGCUCCUGACCCCACUGCUUCAAAUGUGAGUACAUCUAUUUAAGGGAUCCUCUCUCUCUCUCUCUCUUCCUCUGUUCUCCCUAUUUCACCCAGUGAAUAGAGCAGAAGCAGGAUGAGCUGCUAAAUUAGAAAAACAACUGCUGAAAAUGAUGGGCACCACUGAGCCUAAGGUGUUCCCAUGGCAGUGCUAAUGACCUCACUUUACUACAAAUAUCCCUACAGCCUUCAAUCACUGCAAACUGAAGUUGGACAAAGUAAUUUAAAAAUGGGAGGCCUCUUUAUUCUUGCCUUCUGGUCAAGCCACCAUAACACAGGCUUACAGAUCUGUGUUAGCUUUUCCUUGCAGGAAAAGCAAUAUACUUGUCACUAGCAACAGAGUCUUUCUUCAUUUCCUACUGGCUGCCUACAUGAAGGAGCUGAGUACACAGCCCAAGCUGGCCUUCCAAACAAGCAACUGCAAAGGAAUAACACUGAGAAACGAUCGGUGGCAGCUUACAGCAAAAUCUGAAAUAAAGCAAAGCCAAACGGGACUGCUGGGAACAUGGCCGAGUCAAUGGCCACGCGCGGGCAUGGCACUUGCUUGAGUAAGAUGCACACGACAAAGCCAAGCUCGGGACCACAGGGAGCUCAUGCGUGUUUCAGGGUGUACUUUUAUCUCAUGCUCAGUAUUGCAACAUUCUAAAAUCCUUAGCAUCAGGAGUUCAUUAUAAAUAUUAAGAAACACUGAAUGAUAACAGCAGUGAACUUGUUCACGUUGCUAACACAUUGGAUGUAAUUGUACAUUAAGCACCAGCAAUAAGUUUCCUUUUUGCCAAACAAUUAUGUCAGACAAACAUCUGGUUGUAGACAACAUGGCUUCUGCAUCAAACUAAUACAGUUCUUGUAGACACGGUCACACACAUACACAAAAUUACAUUUCAAGGCUGGAUAUACUGUUUAAUAAUGCUACUGCCCCAAUUUACUUCAAUAGCUGCAGCAGCAUUUGUUCAUUGUGUUGUUUUUUGCUCAGAAAAAUUAAAGAGAUAUUGGCAAACAAUGCACAUUACUCAGCUGUGCUACUAUUUCAUAGAGUACUGACUGGAAGACACUGUAAGAAUGUGCAGCAGACUUUCUGGGUCAUGUCAGACUAUGGAAACAUUCCGUACAAAAAUACCCUCCCUCUGAAAAGUCAGAAUUAUUCACUCUUUGAAAGUAAAUGAACUAAAAACCAACAGUAAAACAACAGGAAAAAAUUAGCCCAAAGCACGGUGAUUUCCCACAAGAAGAGCAUGGCCUCUAAAGUUGCCUUUCCUGGCAGACACAAUCAGGAUCAAAGCUAGAACAAAAAGAGUUAACACUGUCUCAGAAAAAAAGAAAAAGGAAGAAAGAAAAAAA